rnacentral:misc_RNA from 1 species
GUACCCUCAAGCUUUGCUUGGUGUUGGGCGUUUUUUGUCUUUGUUUUGUCAAAGACUCGCCUUAAAACGAUUGGCAGCCGGCCUACUGGUUUCGGAGCGCAGCACAUUUUUGCGCUUGCAAUCAGCAAAAGAGGUCGGCAAUCCAUCAAGUCCAUUUUUCUCAC